UGAUGAACGCUAGCUACAGGCUUAACACAUGCAAGUCGAGGGGCAGCAUCAUCAAAGCUUGCUUUGGUGGAUGGCGACCGGCGCACGGGUGAGUAACACGUAUCCAACCUGCCGACAACACUGGGAUAGCCUUUCGAAAGAAAGAUUAAUACCGGAUGGCAUAGUUUUCCCGCAUGGGAUGAUUAUUAAAGAAUUUCGGUUGUCGAUGGGGAUGCGUUCCAUUAGGCAGUUGGCGGGGUAACGGCCCACCAAACCAACGAUGGAUAGGGGUUCUGAGAGGAAGGUCCCCCACAUUGGAACUGAGACACGGUCCAAACUCCUACGGGAGGCAGCAGUGAGGAAUAUUGGUCAAUGGACGAGAGUCUGAACCAGCCAAGUAGCGUGAAGGAUGACUGCCCUAUGGGUUGUAAACUUCUUUUAUACGGGAAUAAAGUUAGCCACGUGUGGCUUUUUGUAUGUACCGUAUGAAUAAGGAUCGGCUAACUCCGUGCCAGCAGCCGCGGUAAUACGGAGGAUCCGAGCGUUAUCCGGAUUUAUUGGGUUUAAAGGGAGCGUAGGCGGGUUGUUAAGUCAGUUGUGAAAGUUUGCGGCUCAACCGUAAAAUUGCAGUUGAUACUGGCGACCUUGAGUGCAACAGAGGUAGGCGGAAUUCGUGGUGUAGCGGUGAAAUGCUUAGAUAUCACGAAGAACUCCGAUUGCGAAGGCAGCUUACUGGAUUGUAACUGACGCUGAUGCUCGAAAGUGUGGGUAUCAAACAGGAUUAGAUACCCUGGUAGUCCACACAGUAAACGAUGAAUACUCGCUGUUGGCGAUAUACGGUCAGCGGCCAAGCGAAAGCAUUAAGUAUUCCACCUGGGGAGUACGCCGGCAACGGUGCAACUCAAAGGAAUUGACGG
rnacentral:rRNA from 1 species